AACGAACGCUGGCGGCAUGCCUAACACAUGCAAGUCGAACGAGACCUUCGGGUCUAUGGGCGCACGGGUGCGUAACGCGUGGGAACCUUCCCUUAGGUUCGGAAUAACUCCCCGAAAGGGGUGCUAAUACCGGAUAAUGUCUUCGGACCAAAGAUUUAUCGCCUUUGGAUGGGCCCGCGUUGGAUUAGAUAGUUGGUAGGGUAAAAGCCUAUCAAGGCGACGAUCCAUAGCUGGUCUGAGAGGAUGAUCAGCCACACUGGGACUGAGAAACGGCCCAGACUCCUACGCGAGGGAGCAGUGGGGAAUAUUGGACAAUGGGCGAAAGCCUGAUCCAGCAAUGCCGCGUGAGUGAUGAAGGCCUUAGGGUUGUAAAGCUCUUUUACCCAGGAUGAUAAUGACAGUACCGGGAGAAUAAGCUCCGGCUAACUACGUG
rnacentral:rRNA from 1 species